rnacentral:ncRNA from 1 species
GUAUCGGUGACGGUGCUUGGGAAGGCAGUCGUCCUGUUGCGACAGGAUACCGUGAAGGUACGGGGUGACGUACAGGAACCGAGUUGAGGCGUGCAUGAGUGGGACGAGCCUGCAACACAAGGCAAAGUCCUCUAUCCACUAUAAGCUCUGUCCGUAUACUCGGCGUUCACGUACCGAAAGACGUGUGU